rnacentral:lncRNA from 1 species
ACUUUCCUUUAAAAAUCUGAUGACGAAAUGCUAGGCCCCGCCAUAUGUCCCGAAAUGAAACUGAGCUCCCUUGCCGGCCUAAACCCUCUUUUCCUGAGCCUGGUGUAUACAAGGAAGGAGAUAAAUAAGAGAAGAAGGCCUUAUCAGAAAAAGAAAAAAACCCAGUGCAAGUAACUGGCUUGAGCGUAAUUUACCUUCGCAGCUUCCGGUCGUUUCCCUAAGUGAUUUAUUUAGAUCACAGAUUAACUUUCCAGAAUCGGAAUAAAAUAAUUUAGCUCUUCAGAGCACGGGUGGAGGAAAGCCAGGGCUGAGUUGGGACGAGUGCAGGAAACGCGUCGGACCUUUCCGGGCAGCUGGACAGUAUGGUAAACAGUCUGGAAGGGUUAUAUUAUUUUCUAAGGAGUUUGGAGAGACUGUUCCUUCGCACCCAGCUCAAGUGCAGGCCGGGGGAGGGGAGAGGGAACCUGCACCGGCCCUUGCUGGGAACCGCGCUUCCGGACCCGACACAGGGCUAGGGCAAACCGAGGAGCGCUUUCGCCUCUAGCUGAGAAACCUUUCCAGUCUUCCCAGCUGCUAGAGAAGGGAGCGAAAGCAAAACGAAAGCACCCGGGGCACAUCAGUCGCGGCGGCUUCCCUGAACGCGGCCGUGGGAGGCCAACGUCUGGGGUCGGUAGGCGAGGGUGGACGCGGGGGUUGCGUGGAAACUGGGUGGCGGGUGAUCCCCGCAGGACCCCCGGGAGCUGCUGGGAGCUCCGUCGCUCCUCCUCCCCCUGGGAAAAGCGACUGCGUGUGAGAAUGUAUCAGCCCCGAAGGGAAAGUUUGGCCUGGGUCUGGAGUUGAAAUUCGAGACUGAUUGGGACCGUGCGGAGGGGACGCAGAGGCAAAGGAGUGUGGCGCGGGGGCGAGCGUUGGCCCCCGGCUGCUGAGCCGGGGAAGAGGCCGGGGAGAGCCGGAGCGCGGCGAGGGCGCGCAGAGGCCGCUGGGGACUGGAGGCCCACGGAAUUGUUGCUCCGCUGAGGUUGCAAACUCAGCCUGCUUCCCCGCAAAAACCAGAGUUCUGCGCGGUAGAAAGACUUCAGGAAACUUUGGUGACAUCCUCUGCACCCGCCCUCUUCCCUCGUGGCAGUCACUGCGAGGACAAAGGCGGCCUGCGCUGAUUUGGACGAGGAGCGGCCCGUGUGGGCGGCCUUAGAGGCCGCAGACUUUUUCAGUUAGGAGAAGGAUGAGUAGCUUUACGAGGUGAAGAUUACCGCCACAACCACCCCUCAGGGGUGACAGCCAGUCCAAGUCUGAUUUGUUAAUAAUCAUUCUCAUUCCCCCACCUUCCCCCCGCAGUGACCCAACACUGGGAGACUGACCUGCGAGAUGCUCUCCCUUUCACUCCAGUAGGUUUCUGUGGCCAAACGCUCGAAAAGCCCCACCUUGCCCUACCUAAUAAACAACUAACUUUGUUCUAUUGAAUGUCA